GAUGAAGAACGCAGCGAAAUGCGAUAAGUAGUGUGAAUUGCAGAAUUCAGUGAAUCAUCGAGUCUUUGAACGCACAUUGCGCCUCCUGGUAUUCCGGGAGGCAUGCCUGUUCGAGCGUCAUUAAAAUCACUCAAGCUUAGGUUUACCUAUUGCUUGGUCUUGGAGAUGGAAGCCAAUUUAUUGGAAUCCUCUUCGAAAUUCAAUGGCGAAGACCCUUGCUCUCCCAAGUGUAGUAAUAACUUAUGUCACUGAAGGAAGCGAGAAAUCUUCUGCCGUAACCCCCAUAUUUUCUAUGAUUGACCUCGGAUCAGGUAGGGAUACCCGCUGAACUUAAGCAUAUCAAUAAGCGGAGGA
rnacentral:misc_RNA from 1 species